UUUGGAAGAAAAAAGGAGAGCAUGCAAUAUUCUGCAAAAAAUAUCUCAUAGUGAGGCAAGUCCUUUGAAGUUGCUCUAGUUAUUAAACUGAGGCUAAGCUUGGCCUACAAGGCCUAAAAUAUCGUUGUGACACAAAGCUGUGGCCCAAGGCAAGGUUCUCUGCAUAGGUACAUACAGCUAGCAGGAAACUGGGAUGCACUGGAUAUACCAAUAUUGUCUUCUGACAGCCUGAAAGUGGAGGAUAAGUCACGACCAGAAGGGCAUGAUCAGUCUCCUCAGGACCAUUACCUGGAUUAUCUUUGUUCCUCUAAUAUCUGACAUUUCAGACACCUUCAAAGGUGAAGAGGUAGAAGAAGCAGAUUACCAGAUGUCUCAAGAUACAACAAAACAUUUAAAAAUGAUGAACCUAGAGAAAGCAAGACCAGGCUUCGGGAAUCUCCAGAGAACAAGGGGAAGGUCAAGCAAGGAGCACUUACCCUUGGUGGAAGAGGGCCAAGUCCAGGAAUACUUAAACAAGCUGGACCAUGGGCCAUGGGCCUUAAUGGGAUGCACCCACUCUCAAUAAUAUUUCAAGAAUCACAGUAAUUGAAUGAAGCACUCAAUGACUUGAGGAGAUCAAAUGUCACUUCCAUCUCCAAAAAGAGCAAGAACAACAAUCCAGGAAACUGUAUAACAGUCAACCUGACCUUAACUCCUGGGAAGUGAUGGAACAACUGAUCUUGACACAUGAAGGACAAGAAAAUCAUCAGUAAUAGUCACCAUGGCUCCACCGAGGGGAUGUCAGUUUUGACCAACCUCCUGUGAUGAAAUGCUUGGCAAGGGAAGAGGUAUAUCAUCCAUCUAGACUUCAGUAACAUUUUUGACACUGUGUAUCAUAGGAACCUCAUACAGAAGCUGAGGAGGUAUGGUCUGGAUGAGAAGACACUGAGGUGGAUUGAAGGAUGGCUGAACAACAGGGCUGAGAGCGUAGCAGGCUAGGAAGCAAAGUCAAGUUGUAGGCCAGUAACUACUGAUGUACUCCAUCACUAUGGAGUAGUGGAGUAGCUCAUCUGUGUCAUUGCUGGUUCUGAUUCUGUUCAACAUCUUCAUCAAUAAUCUGAAUGAUGAUGCACAUUGUCCUCUGCAAAUUUUCUGAUGUUAUAAAACAGGAGAAGCUGUUGAUACACCAGAGAGUUCUGCUGCCAGUUGGAAGGAAAUGGAC
ensembl:lncRNA